UACGUAGGGGGGCUAGCGUUGUCCGGAAUCAUUGGGCGUAAAGCGCGUGUAGGCGGUCCGGUAAGUCCGCUGUGAAAGUCGGGGGCUUAACCCUCGGAUGCCGGUGGAUACUGUCGGGCUUGAGUACGGAAGAGGCGAGUGGAAUUCCUGGUGUAGCGGUGAAAUGCGCAGAUAUCAGGAGGAACACCAAUUGCGAAGGCAGCUCGCUGGGACGUUACUGACGCUGAGACGCGAAAGCGUGGGGAGCAAACAGG
rnacentral:rRNA from 1 species